rnacentral:rRNA from 1 species
CUUAAAGAUUAAGCCAUGCAAGUGUUAGUAUAGGUGAUUAUACAGCGAGACUGCGGAUAGCUCAUUAAAACAGUUCGAAAAGAAUCGAUGAAAAGGACAACUUGCAAAAGUUGGAAGUGGAUAUUAAAUGUAAUUCAUUUGAUAAUACAUGUGACUUGGAAAUACAAUGUGUCAAAGCAUUGUACGUAUUUAUUAUGAAAAUUAGGGAGUGCCACUGUAAUAGUAAAAUAUUAUGGCCCUAUUGAUUGACAAGGCUGAUCCAUCAAAUCAUUCGUGGUAUCUUUGACCACGAAGUUGAUCACGGAUAACGAGAGAUCAGGGUUUGAUUUCGGAGAGAAAGCAUGAGAGUUUGCUUUCACUACCAAGGUAGGCAGCAGGCCCGGAAAUUACUCAAUAUCAAUUCGAUGAAGUAGUGACGAGAAAUAUCAGAAUAGGAAAUUUUAUUUGCUGUGUUUGGAAUGAGUACAAUUUAAAACCAUUAACGAGGAACUAUUAGAGGGCAAGUCUGGUGCCAGCAUCCGCGGUAAUUCCAGCUCUAAGAGCGUAUUUGAAAAUUGUUGCAGUUAAAAAGCCCGUAGUUGAAACUAGACUUAUUUUGAUGUUCGUGGAGGAUUCAUUCAAUACGGUUUAAUGGAAGAAUAGUCAAAAAUCUAACAUAUUAUUUGAAUGAUUGGUUGUUUUAGAACAAAAUUCGAAGGAUGAAAGGAAUGAAAAUGAACUAUGAUGUACACUCGAUUGAAAAAGAUUUGGACCUGUAAAAAAGGAAAGGAAGAAAAUCAAAAGACCAUAAUUAUAGGCCGGAUAAAGAAUUCAGGCUUUAUUGCGGUGUGUUUAGAAAAGUUCGCUUUGAACAAAUUAGAAUGCUCAGAAUAGGCUUAUGCCGGAAUACAUUAGCAUGGUACGACGAAAUUGAUUGAUAUAUUUUUGUGUGGAGGUCAAAGAUUGACUGAGAUGAUUGAAAAUUAAUUAGUAUGAAACUGAUGUUUGACUUUGAAAUCAUUUAGAUUUAGACUGGAAUAUAGCUUUAAUGUUUAAUAGGGGUAAAUGGCGUGAUUGUUAUUGAAGGGGUAGAGGUGAAAUUCUAUGAUCCUUUCAAGAACCACUACUGCGAAGGCAUUUUACGAAGAUGCUUUCAUUAAUCAAGGACGAAGGUUAUGGGCGCGAAGAUGAUUAGAUACCGUUGUAGUCAUAACAGUAAACGAUGUUGA